GCCAUGUUAACGUACGGUUAAAGUGCUUUUCUAUAGCGCUAGUGUUUUGUUAUUCUCUGCUGGACGGGUUGUUAUUCUCUGCGGAUGGGUUGACAUGCUGCACGCACAGGUGUUUGUGUAAACGUUCUUCAUCGGUGACAAACGGAUGUAGUUUGGUUGUAGAGUGCCGUGCUGUAACAGAUCUUGAAACCCACUAUUCCCUGGAUUAAAGUGGAGUGAGGUCAGCAUGUUGCCUUAACUCAGUUUUCUCAGUGUUUGGGUGUAGUCGACCCGGGGUAUCCUUCAGACCCUGCAGCCACUGGAAUGAAAGCUGCCUCACUGCGGUUAGUUAAAUAGUUGGACAAUGACAGCAUGUGGUGGCCAUGACUCAAGGCAGUCUGGGUGAGCGAUGGAACUACUGAGCUCUGGAGGACAAAGGAGAGAGAAUCAGCAAGAAAACACACACUGACCUGGUUUAAAUUUGCAUAGAAGGAUAAGAAGAAUUAGAUGGUUUCCACUGUCAAUGUUUCAAAAGUUAUGAGAACAGCUGGCAGUCUUAGUUAUUUGACUGCCAUAAUACAGUCUGAAGUCUUUAUUGGAUUACAUAACUCUUCUGGCAACAUUUGGAAGCACAAGAUUUGGAAUAAUAUUAUAAGCUCUCUGAUUGGUGAGUAGAUCUUAAUCCCCGCCUACAUUCCACAGUGACUGCUCG
ensembl:lncRNA